UUCUAUCUUCUCGCAAGUCAAAAACAACAACACCGACACUAGAAAUAAUGGACUUACACCUUUGUUGAAACUAGACAACCACUAGUAUAACAAGUUAAGUCAAGAAAGAGAAACUCAUCUUAGUCUUCUAUUCCCUAUUCCUUUUGAUUUGUUCGAAAUCCAAUCAACAAGCCUAAACCCCAAACUCAGUUUCUUCAAAUUCAUAUUUGCAUGUGAAAAGAUCCUACUCAAGUUCAAGCCUUUGGGUUACUAGGAAUCUAAGGUAAGAGGAAUCAAACUCAUCUUCUUUUCUUUCUUGGUUAUGUUAGACUCUAAGUCCUUCUUGGUGUAUUUGCAUGUUCCUAAUUACUGAACUUGGAGCACUUGGGAGGAGUUAAGAAUUGAUGGGUGAAAUAAGAAAA
rnacentral:lncRNA from 1 species